rnacentral:rRNA from 1 species
UACGGAGGGUGCAAGCGUUGUCCGGAUUUAUUGGGUUUAAAGGGUACGUAGGUGGAUUCUUAAGUCCGUGGUGAAAGCCCGCAGCUUAACUGCGGAACUGCCAUGGAUACUGGGAAUCUUGAAUUCAGUUGAGGUUGGCGGAAUUUAUGGUGUAGCGGUGAAAUGCAUAGAUACCAUAAAGAACACCUAUUGCGAAGGCAGCUAACUGGACUUGAAUUGACACUGAGGUACGAAAGCGUGGGGAGCGAACAGG